rnacentral:tRNA from 1 species
AGGAUAGUAGUUAAAUAUAACAUUUGGGUUGCAUUCAAAAAGUAUUGAUUUAUUCAAUCUAUCUUG